rnacentral:rRNA from 1 species
GCUAACACUAGCCCCAAACACAACUAAUACUAGUAUCAAACUAGCAUAUACUAAACCAUUUACCCAUGCAAAGUAUAGGCGAUAGAAAUUUUAACCUGGCGCUAUAGAGGCAGUACCGUAAGGGAAAGAAUGAAAAUCACCUAGGCAUAAAAUAGCAAGAACUAACCCCUGUACCUUUUGCAUAAUGAAUUAACUAGAACUAAUUUCGCAAAGAGAACUAAAGCCAAAUUCCCCGAAAUCAGACGAGCUACCCAAAAACAGCUAAAAGAGCGCACCCGUCUAUGUGGCAAAAUAGUGGGAAGAUUUAUGGGUAGAGGUGACAAGCCUACCGAGCCUGAUGAUAGCUGGUUAUCCAAGAUAGAAUCUUAGUUCAACCUUGAGCCUACUAACAGAACCACCUAAUCCUCCCGUAGACUCAAUUGUUAGUCUAAAGAGGGACAGCUCUUUAGACAUUAGGAAAAAACCUUAUAUAGAGAGUAAAAACCCCAACUACCAUAGUUGGCCUAAAAGCAGCCAUCAAUUAAGAAAGCGUUUAAGCUCAACAUCAACUACCCCUAAAAAUCCCAAACAUAUAACUGAACUCCUCACCCCACAUUGGAUUAAUCUAUCACCAUAUAGAAACAAUAAUGUUAGUAUGAGUAACAUGAACAUUUUCUCCACUGCAUAAGCCUAAAUCAGACCGAAAAACCUCACUGAUACUUAACAGCCUAGUACUGACAAACACAAACAAGCCCGUACUAUACCUACUGUUAACCCAACACAGGCAUGCUUUCAAGGAAGGUUAAAAAAAGUAAAAGGAACUCGGCAAACCUAACCCCCGCCUGUUUACCAAAAACAUCACCUCUAGCAUUACCAGUAUUAGAGGCACUGCCUGCCCAGUGACACACGUUUAACGGCCGCGGUACCCUGAC